CAGAAGAUGCCUGUCUGGGAGCAGUGGGUGGGGGCCCAGAGAAUAAGGAACCCAAGUGCUUAGGCCCUCCCUCCGGCUGCAGACCUCAGCUGGGCUGGGCGCGGCGCGGGAUCCGAGGGGGCUCAGCCGCCCCUGUCCCAACCUCCUGAAACAGCCAUCUCCUGACAACCCCCCAUCGCCGGCUUCCACGUAGCCAUGUCCCUCCUCCUGCUGGUGGUCUCUGCCCUUCACAUCCUCAUUCUCAUCCUGCUUUUCGUGGCCACUUUGGACAAGUCCUGGUGGACCCUCCCGGGGAAGGAGUCCCUGAAUCUCUGGUAUGACUGCACAUGGAACAAUGACAACAAAACGUGGGCCUGCAGUAACGUCAGCGA